AGUCGAUGGCGGUGGCGGUGUACAGGUUGGGGUCGAUGGUCACCGCUGUGGCCUUGGCCACAAACGCCAGCGAGCCGGCCUUGAGCGGGUUGGUGGUGGCGGCCAGCGAGUUGGCGGCCGCAAUGUUGACCGCGUCAGUGCCGGCGUAGGGCGUGGCCUUGUCCAGGUUCACGGUCAGCGUGGUGCCGGCCACGGAGCAGGGCGAGGUGGCGGCCAGGGUCUUGGCGGGGGUGAAGGUGACAAUCUUGUUGCAGUCGUCCACGGUGGCCGGGGUGGUGGUGAUGGUGCCGGUGGCGGACAGAGUCACCUUGACCUGGGUGGGCGAGGCGGCGGCAGCCGACACAAUCGAAGGGCCAAUGGUGACGACCGCGGCCGAGGCAGCUGCGUUCAGUGUCGCCACAGUGGUGUACUUGGGCGAGGUGUUGGCCACGGCGGCGGCGGUGGCUGCACCGCGCAGGUUGGCGCUGUUGCCAAAGCCGACGUCGAUGCGGUCGCCGGUCGCAUACGAGCUCACGGUUGUGUCGAGGGUCAGGGUGAUUGUGGUGCCGCUGCCGCUGAGGACGCAGGGCGCAACGCCAGCGCCAGGGGCGACCAAGGUCCGCGCGAUGGUGGAGCCGGAGGGGAUGACGCGGAUGACGCUGUCACAGUUGUCCUUGGUGGGCGUGGCGCCGUCGGCAGCAAGAAUCUCAGCGGGGGAG
rnacentral:lncRNA from 1 species